rnacentral:rRNA from 1 species
CCUACGGGUGGCAGCAGUGAGGAAUAUUGGUCAAUGGACGAGAGUCUGAACCAGCCAAGUAGCGUGAAGGAUGACUGCCCUAUGGGUUGUAAACUUCUUUUAUAUGGGAAUAAAAUGUUCCACGUGUGGGAUUUUGUAUGUACCAUAUGAAUAAGGAUCGGCUAACUCCGUGCCAGCAGCCGCGGUAAUACGGAGGAUCCGAGCGUUAUCCGGAUUUAUUGGGUUUAAAGGGAGCGUAGGUGGAUUGUUAAGUCAGUUGUGAAAGUGUGCGGCUCAACCGUAAAAUUGCAGUUGAAACUGGCAGUCUUGAGUACAGUAGAGGUGGGCGGAAUUCGUGGUGUAGCGGUGAAAUGCUUAGAUAGCACGAAGAACUCCGAUUGCGAAGGCAGUUCACUGGACUGCAACUGACACUGAGGCUCGAAAGUGUGGGUAUCAAACAGGAUUAGAUACCCUAGUAGUC